GACAGAGGGUGCAAACGUUGUUCGGAAUUACUGGGCGUAAAGAGCGUGUAGGCGGCCAGGUAGGUCGGUUGUGAAAACUGGAGGCUCAACCUUCAGAGGUCGACCGAAACCAUCUGGCUAGAGUCCGGGAGAGGAGAGUGGAAUUCCUGGUGUAGCGGUGAAAUGCGCAGAUAUCAGGAAGAACACCCGUGGCGAAAGCGGCUCUCUGGAACGGUACUGACGCUGAGACGCGAAAGCGUGGGGAGCGAACAGG
rnacentral:rRNA from 1 species